rnacentral:lncRNA from 1 species
UAUGUUAGAAUGGUUAGAAUGUGAGCUCGCCAGGAAGGACGUCAGGCUUUUGCUUUACUGUUGAUAACGUUGAGUUUUUCUAUAUUGAUGCUUUUGUUUUUAAAAUUUAUGAGUGCUGCUGUUCGUCUUGGAGCAUGUGUUGCUGUGUACCGUUUGAUAUGGACCAUAAAGUUGACCUCACUUGCAUGUGACGGGCGAUGAAUUUGGUUAAAGAGAUUGGUGGAAAAGCUGAG